AGAUGAAGAUACCUUUGAUACUUAUACUGUAGUUACUCCAGUUAUGUUCCAUAUGCCAGUGUAUUCAAGAAUGGUGUACCAUCACUAUUCUCUUGUUCCUGUUUCCUGUAGGUGUGGUUACUGGUUGCUAAGGCAACAGAUAAGAUUUCCAGCACCAACAGAACUCCAUCAUUUUUAGAGCUGCUAUACCAGUGUAUCUCAGGUACUGGAUCAAUAGGUUUCAAUUGGUGGGUGUUGGUUCAAUGGAAUGCUCUGUAUGGAUACAGUAAUGAUGGAGUCUGGAAUGAUCAUCAAUGAUGAGUAUAAAAUUAAUGGACAAUGGACUAUAAUUAAGGACAUAAUUAAUAAAACAUUUAGUGAAAUGAAGGUGAAUUAGCUCAUCGCUGGUCCAUUAAUUGCUGUAAUUAUAUUUAUAAUCACUGGAGUCCUCUCAAUGCUUAUCCUAUUAUUAUUGGAUGGGAAUAUUACCAGAAGAACAUGAAUAAUUCAUUUGUUAUUUCUGAUUUUGAAAAUAAAAGGCUACUGAUAUCAGAGAGCGGUUAUAAAGACGUUCUUGAAGCGAUUGGAUCAAGUGACCAA